rnacentral:rRNA from 1 species
UACGUAGGGUGCAAGCGUUGUCCGGAAUUAUUGGGCGUAAAGAGCUCGUAGGCGGUCUGUCGCGUCGGCUGUGAAAUCCCGAGGCUCAACCUCGGGUCUGCAGUCGAUACGGGCAAACUGGAGUGUUGCAGGGGAGACUGGAAUUCCUGGUGUAGCGGUGAAAUGCGCAGAUAUCAGGAGGAACACCGGUGGCGAAGGCGGGUCUCUGGGCAACAACUGACGCUGAGACGCGAAAGCGUGGGGGAGCGAACAGG